ACGGCGAGUGAAGCGGCAACAGCUCAAAUUUGAAAUCUGGCGUAAGCCCGAGUUGUAAUUUGUAGAGGAUGCUUCUGGGCAGCGGCCGUUCUAAGUUCCUUGGAACAGGACGUCAUAGAGGGUGAGAAUCCCGUAUGUGACCGGCACGUACCCUCCACGUAGCUCCUUCGACGAGUCGAGUUGUUUGGGAAUGCAGCUCUAAAUGGGAGGUAAAUUUCUUCUAAAGCUAAAUACCGGCCAGAGACCGAUAGCGCACAAGUAGAGUGAUCGAAAGAUGAAAAGCACUUUGGAAAGAGAGUUAAAAAGCACGUGAAAUUGUUGAAAGGGAAGCGCUUACAACCAGACUUCGUGGCGGUGUUCCGCCGGUCUUCUGACCGGUCCACUCGCCGCCGCGAGGCCAGCAUCGUCUGGGGCCGCCGGAUAAGACCUUGGGAAUGUAGCUUGCCUCGGUAAGUGUUAUAGCUCAGGGUGAUGCGGCGUGCCUCGGGCGAGGUCCGCGCUUCGGCAAGGAUGCUGGCGUAAUGGUUGUCAGCGGCCCGUCUUGAAACACGGACCAAGGAGUCUAACAUCUAUGCGAGUGUUCGGGUGUCAAACCCCUACGCGUAAUGAAAGUGAACGGAGGUGGGAAGCGCAAGCUGCACCAUCGACCGAUCCUGAUGUCCUCGGAUGGAUUUGAGUAAGAGCAUAGCUGUUGGGACCCGAAAGAUGGUGAACUAUGCCUGAAUAGGGUGAAGCCAAAGGAAACUCUGGUGGAGGCUCGCAGCGGUUCUGACGUGCAAAUCGAUCGUCAAAUUUGKKAWWGGG
rnacentral:rRNA from 1 species